rnacentral:rRNA from 1 species
AGACAGAGCCGCCGCGGUAAUACGAAGGGUGCAAGCGUUAAUCGGAAUUACUGGGCGUAAAGCGCGCGUAGGUGGUUUGGUAAGAUGGAUGUGAAAUCCCCGGGCUCAACCUGGGAACUGCAUCCAUAACUGCCUGACUAGAGUACGGUAGAGGGUGGUGGAAUUUCCUGUGUAGCGGUGAAAUGCGUAGAUAUAGGAAGGAACACCAGUGGCGAAGGCGACCACCUGGACUGAUACUGACACUGAGGUGCGAAAGCGUUGGGAGCAAACAGGAUUAGAUACCCCCGUAGUCCCUGUCUCUUAUACA